AGAGACUUAGUUAAGCUUAUAACAUAAACCUGUCACGUUUAAAUCGUAUUCAUUACAGUCUCUU
rnacentral:tRNA from 1 species